CAUCCUUUCUCUGUAGGCUCCCCAAAGGUUCAAUUAUCUGCCGCUUGCUCCUUCCCUUCUUUCUUCUUGUGUAAUUUUCAUUUUAACACUCAUUACCAGCUCCACACUGAAGAUACCCAACUGUCCCUAGCUUUCACCACCCCGGUGGCUCCACACCCCUCUUCCUGACCUCAGCCAUGCUCUGAAGCACAAACAAUGACUUCAUCUCAAUGGUCAUCAUCGAAACGGCUCAAAGGCAGAAGUGUUUCUAAGAGGAAAAGGCAGUCUCUGAAGACACAGUUCCCCCUUAUUUCCCUUUUCGGCUCCUCAGGAAUGGACCGGGCUGUAAGAGGCAUUACUGGUGGAGCUAUCCCAGAAAAACCCGUUGACCCUGCAGUUUAACAUCGCAGUAAGGGAAUCAGUGUGGUCCCGCAAUUAACAAACGAUUAGCAAAAGGACCUUCUUGCCCAGUUAAGUCGUGCCGGUAUGGUGGGGUUUGCUAACGGAUUAGUCAGCAAUGUGAUUUUUACCAAUGUGGUUACGCUGCCAACUUUUGUAUGAACUGGCCUGAGCCGCGGUCUGAGACUUCCUCUCGCCUCCACUGUUCGCAUGGCUGUGCUCCCUCAGUUCGGACUUCGACCGACAGCAGCGCAGUCGCACCAUUGCUCUCCUACAACUUACCGGUCGGGGGGAAAGACUCAUUCAUGAUUCCGUCUUUUCACCGCGUAACUCUCUUUUCACAGCUCUCAAGUCCCAGCUGUCCAGAUAAAAUUACACAGAAAUGGCUGCCCUUCCUUUUCAGCUGUAAAGAGGACACAUUUUUACAUGAACUUCACCCAGUACCUCUAGGAGCACCUCCUUAUUGUGGGUCCUGCCCCAUGAAUUGGCCUGAACUGCUUUCCGCGCAUCAGAACAAUCUCUCAGCAUCUAGAGCACGUUUGCACUUCCAGAAAAAAGUUUUUAUAUACUUUAAGCUGAGAACUUUCAAAAGACUUUUCAGGGUUUAGACAUUUACUGUAAAAAAAAGAUAUAUCUAUUUGAUAAUUUUGGAAAUCCAUGUCUUCAAAUCUGACUGAAGUCUUGCCUAAAUUUCCUCCUUCCCCUGUCUUAAAAGUACCAGUACUUGGUUUAUAUUUUAAGUGACUGUGCUCAUCAUCCUUAUGUUUCAGGAAGUUCCAAAGAUGUGCCACAGUCGUUUUAUUACAGACGCUACAGAACACAAAGCUGAGGAGCUCUCCCUGUGACGACACCGAGCAGACUUCUAUCCACCCAAGCUAGCACUGAAGAGGAAAAAAACUGUUUUACUGGACAGUUUAGAAGUGACUCUAUACUGAGAUAAAUGUUUACAGUGAGAGAAAGGCAAUUUGAUCUCUGAAUCAAUACAGGAGAAUCCAGCACAUCCUGGCCAUGCUUCACCAGUUCAUCUGGUGCUAAAUGGGAAAUACCAGAAGUCCACCCCGCUCUUCUCAAAUACUUCAGUCGUAGCAGAAAUGUUUCCCGCUAGUGGGUUAAAUCCCAGUUACCUCCGAUGGCCUGUUUCAGACAGAAAGUCCUGAACUUUUGAUGCAAUGUAAGAAUGGAAACAAACUUUGUUCUUUGCGCCUAAACCCUAUAAAUACAGCAGCCAAAAGGAAUCAUCACAGCUUUCACCUCUCACACCUUCUAUGCUGUAUCCAAGUGUGUUUUGGUUCAGGCUACUGGUUCUUGCUCAGCCUUUCUCUGCUGGGAUAGAGGUGCCUUUGGUAGUUUUUCAUCUUCAAGAUACGUGUAUAUUAAUCAGUCUCCUUAACAUAAUACAAUAUGAGCUCUUGCACAACCUUUUCUCUUCUGCUGAAUCAUCUGUGGUUCUGUGCCUUACCCAAUAUUGCAACAUCCUUUCUGAAAUGUAUGCAUUCCUUCCUUGCCUAAAUAAGGCUACACAACAAUAAAGUUUUCCCCUACUGCUCAUUUUUCUCCUAUUUAUGCAAGAAACAUUUUAGUAUCUUGGCUCACAAUGAGAACAUUUGUCCAGUUCUAACCUUUAAUCCUCUGUAGGAUAGUCUCCGUAUUCCUAGAAUCAGCCGUUUUGGAGAUCUUUCAAAUUCUGUGCUCCUACAUACAUAACCUGGCAUUUAGUUGUAUUGAAAUGAUACAAGUCACACAUUACUAACUUAAAUUAGCAAAAAAAGCUAAUCAGUCUUUGGAGUAAAUGCCAUUUUUUGUUUUCUACCCAAAAACUGCGGAAGAAAAUUGAUUAAUAUAGGUCUUGGAACCUUUACCAGGAAACCCU